CCAGGUUACAACAGCUAGGGUGUGAAAUCGACAAGAUUCCAACAUUUCAUGCGAUCAAGAGGUAUUUGACGCUUCAAAACUGCUAAGUGAGGCAUAAAGCCCAAAAUGGACCAGAGCACCCCGGUCAGCAACAGAAUUAGAAAAAUCCUCUCCUAAGAAGAUUGCUAAGUUUGAUCAUAUGUUUUAAGAUAUUAAAACACUGUCUUGUUUUUCUUAACUACAUGUAUUUUGCUUAAUAAUUGUCAUUGACUGCAGGGUAGAGUGAGUAAUAUAAUGUCAGUUAACAAGAUUGUAUAGAAUGGGGACAUUCAAGCCUGUGGAGUAGAUAUUACUUUCACAAACCUGCAAUAAUCUAAAAUAUAAUACCAUUAA